GUGUGCGUGUGUGUGUGUGUUUGUGUGUGUGUUUUAAAAAGAAGGAAGAAAAGGGUUAGGUGUUGGGCUAUGUCAUGGGCCAAAUUAUUUCUCUGCUGGGCCGAGUUUUAUUUUAAUUUGUUGGGCUGAGAUUUGUCUUAAAGUGUUGGGCUGGGUUCUUUUAUUUGCCAGGCCUGACUUUUAUUAAAUAUUUGGACUGCACUAGUCUAAUUAAUUGGACUUCAUACUUAAGUUCGAUUAAUUAUUUUAAUUUGCAUAAUAAUAUCAUAUUACUAUUAUGUGCAUAUUUUAAACAAAUUACUUAUUAUAUGUUUAAGCAUGUCAUGAAAUUGCAUUAGCAUUUUGCAAUAAAAAUAUUUAUGAUUUAAAUUGGUUUUCAUUAAAUACAAUUAGUGAAGAAAAUCGAGUAAGGAUAUUGUUGGUGUCCUUGACUCAAGAAAGUUAGUUUUCAAUAUUUAUUUAUUAAAUUUUGAAACCCGGCGUGACGAAUUAUAGAAUGUUAAGUAUUUUCCCUAAGAUAUUAAGUUAGCAUCACGAGACCUAUUAAGAAUAGAAUUUCUUGUAGGCUUUGUGACCAGGGGGAUUAUCGCUGCUUUCCCAAGACAGGUUUUUAUGUGUAUGAUCUUCAGGCUUUGCCUAUCCAGGUUGGCUGGCCGGUGCUGACGGGACUGAGCUGAGGCUAGGGUUCAAUUUCUAUGUAGACUUCCGCUGUAGUAAUAACUCUUAUACAUCUUUUGUUUUCUCAACUUAAGAUGACUUCAUGUCGAGCUUCAAUUUAAAAUUUCUAGUUUCGAGUUAAUGAAUGUCGGUUGUCAGAAGCAUGAAACAAAACUUGUGAUCCAAAGGGGCAUAGCCCGACUUUCUAUCUUAUUAUUCGAGUUUUAACAAGGUUGUUCCUUGUUUAUUUCUA